AGGGAAUAUUGCACAAUGGGCGCAAGCCUGAUGCAGCAACGCCGCGUGCGCGAUGAAGGCCUUCGGGUCGUAAAGCGCUUUUCUGGAGGAUGAGGAAGGACCGUACUCCAGGAAUAAGUCUCGGCUAACUACGUGCCAGCAGCCGCGGUAAAACGUAGGAGACAAGCGUUAUCCGAAUUUACUGGGCGUAAAGCGCGUGCAGGUGGUUAGGUAAGCGGCGUGUGAAAUCUCCUGGCUCAACUGGGAGGGGCCGCGCCAAACUGCCUGACUAGAGGGCGGUAGAGGGAGGUGGAAUUCCCGGUGUAGUGGUGAAAUGCGUAGAUAUCGGGAGGAACACCUGUGGCGAAAGCGGCCUCCUGGACCGUACCUGACGCUCAGACGCGAAAGCUAGGGGAGUGAACGGGAUUAGAAACCCCGGUAAUCCUAGCUGUAAACGAUGUGGACUGGGUGUCGGACGGGGUAAAAGCCGUCGGUGCCGAAGCCAACGCGAUAAGUCCACCGCCUGGGGACUACGGUCGCAAGGUUA
rnacentral:rRNA from 1 species